UUGGAUAUGAUGAAGAAUUUGAUGACUGAGCUCUUAACACACGAUGAGUCAUGUAUUCGUACUGUCUGAUCCAG